GACGAACGCUGGCGGCGUGCUUAACACAUGCAAGUCGAACGGAAAGGCCCUGCUUUUGUGGGGUGCUCGAGUGGCGAACGGGUGAGUAACACGUGAGUAUCCUGUCCUUGACUUUGGGAUAACUUCAGGAAACUGGGGCUAAUACCGGAUAGGAGCUCCUGCUGCAUGGUGGGGGUUGGAAAGUUUCGGCGGUUGGGGAUGGACUCGCGGCUUAUCAGCUUGUUGGUGGGGUAGUGGCUUACCAAGGCUUUGACGGGUAGCCGGCCUGAGAGGGUGAACGGCCACAUUGGGACUGAGAUACGGCGCAGACGCCUACGGGAGGCAGCAGUGGGGAAUAUUGCACAAUGGGCGGAAGCCUGAUGCAGCAACGCCGCGUGCGGGAUGACGGCCUUCGGGUUGUAAACCGCUUUCGCCUGUGACGAAGCGUGAGUGACGGUAAUGGGUAAAGAAGCACCGGCUAACUACGUG
rnacentral:rRNA from 1 species